UUUGAUCGACCCGAGCCACAGCGGCCGCUCCCGCCCCUGCCCGUAGGUCGCCAGCAACGCCUGCGCCUC
rfam:Nocardia terpenica strain IFM 0406 genomic scaffold scaffold1, whole genome shotgun sequence.